rnacentral:rRNA from 1 species
UACGUAGGGUGCGAGCGUUGUCCGGAAUUAUUGGGCGUAAAGAGCUCGUAGGCGGUUUGUCGCGUCGGCUGUGAAAGCCCGGAGCUCAACUCCGGGUCUGCAGUCGAUACGGGCAGACUAGAGUGCGGUAGGGGAGACUGGAAUUCCUGGUGUAGCGGUGAAAUGCGCAGAUAUCAGGAGGAACACCGGUGGCGAAGGCGGGUCUCUGGGCCGUAACUGACGCUGAGGAGCGAAAGCGUGGGGGAGCGAACAGG